GUCCGAUUAGCUCAGUGGAUAGAGCACCCGUCUCUUCGGCGGGGGGUCCCAAGUUCGAAUCUUGGCUCGGACA
rnacentral:tRNA from 1 species